rnacentral:rRNA from 1 species
ACCAGACUCCUACGGGAGGCAGCAGUGAGGAAUAUUGGUCAAUGGGCGGGAGCCUGAACCAGCCAAGCCGCGUGAGGGAAGAAGGUACAGCGUAUCGUAAACCUCUUUUGUCAGGGAACAAAGGCGGGGACUAGUCCCCGGAUGAGGGUACCUGAAGAAAAAGCAUCGGCUAACUCCGUGCCAGCAGCCGCGGUAAUACGGAGGAUGCGAGCGUUAUCCGGAUUUAUUGGGUUUAAAGGGUGCGUAGGCGGUCCGUUAAGUCAGCGGUAAAAUUGCGGGCCUCACCCCCGUCGAGCCGUUGAAACUGGCAGACUUGAGUUGGCGAGAAGUACGCGGAAUACGCGGUGUAGCGGUGAAAUGCAUAGAUAUCACGCAGAACUCCGAUUGCGAAGGCAGCAUACCGGCGCCCAACUGACGCUGAAGCAC